rnacentral:rRNA from 1 species
UACGAAGGGUGCAAACGUUGCUCGGAAUCACUGGGCGUAAAGCGCACGUAGGCGGCUUUCUAAGUCAGGGGUGAAAUCCUGGAGCUCAACUCCAGAACUGCCUUUGAUACUGGAGAGCUUGAGUCCGGGAGAGGUGAGUGGAACUCCGAGUGUAGAGGUGAAAUUCGUAGAUAUUCGGAAGAACACCAGUGGCGAAGGCGGCUCACUGGCCCGGUACUGACGCUGAUGUGCGAAAGCGUGGGGAGCAAACAGGG